ACUAUAACUCCAGAUG
rnacentral:rRNA from 1 species